rnacentral:rRNA from 1 species
UACGUAGGGGGCAAGCGUUGUCCGGAAUCAUUGGGCGUAAAGAGCGUGUAGGCCGCUCGAUAAGUCUGCUGUGAAAGUCCAGGGCUCAACCCUGGAAGGCCGGUGGAAACUGUCGGGCUAGAGUCCGGAAGAGGCGAGUGGAAUUCCCGGUGUAGCGGUGAAAUGCGCAGAUAUCGGGAGGAACACCAAUGGCGAAGGCAGCUCGCUGGGACGGUACUGACGCUGAGACGCGAAAGCGUGGGGAGCAAACAGG